rnacentral:rRNA from 1 species
AGUGGCGCACGGGUGAGUAACACGUGAAUAAUCUACCUCCGAGUGGGGAAUAACUGAGAGAAAUCUUAGCUAAUACCGCAUAACACUUACGAGUCAAAGCAGCAAUGCGCUUGGAGAGGAGUUCGCGGCCGAUUAGUUAGUUGGCGGGGUAAUGGCCCACCAAGACGAUGAUCGGUAUCCGGCCUGAGAGGGCGCACGGACACACUGGAACUGAAACACGGUCCAGACUCCUACGGGAGGCAGCAGUGGGGAAUUUUGCGCAAUGGGGGAAACCCUGACGCAGCAACGCCGCGUGGAGGAUGAAGUAUCUUGGUACGUAAACUCCUUUCGAUUGGGAAGAUAAUGACGGUACCAAUAGAAGAAGCCCCGGCUAACUUCGUGCCAGCAGCCGCGGUAAUACGAGGGGGGCAAGCGUUGUUCGGAUUUAUUGGGCGUAAAGGGUGCGUAGGCGGUUUGGCAAGUCUUAUGUGAAAUCUUCGGGCUCAACCCGAAGCCUGCAUAAGA